UACGUAGGGUCCGAGCGUUGUCCGGAAUUAUUGGGCGUAAAGCGCGCGCAGGCGGCGAUCUACGUCUGGGGUGAAAGCCCGGAGCUCAACUCCGGGACUGCCUUGGAUACGGGAUCGCUUGAGGAUUGGAGAGGCAAGGGGAAUUCCACGUGUAGCGGUGAAAUGCGUAGAGAUGUGGAGGAACACCUGUGGCGAAGGCGCCUUGCUGGCCAAUUACUGACGCUGAGGCGCGAAAGCGUGGGGAGCAAACAGG
rnacentral:rRNA from 1 species